GACAGAGGCGGCGAGCGUUACCCGGAUUCACUGGGCGUAAAGGGUGCGUAGGCGGUCGCGUGUGUCGUCGGUGAAAUCCCCCUGCUCAACGGGGAGGGUGCCGACGAAACUACGCGGCUGGAGGGCCGGAGAGGGAGGCGGAACUUCCGGAGUAGCGGUGAAAUGCGUAGAUACCGGAAGGUACCUCAAUAGCGAAGGCAGCCUCCUGGCCGGUUCCUGACGCUGAGGCACGAAAGCGUGGGGAGCAAACCGG
rnacentral:rRNA from 1 species